rnacentral:rRNA from 1 species
AGCUGGGGGAGCAAACAGGAUUAGAUACCCUGGUAGUCCCAGCCGUAAACGAUGGGCACUAGGUGUUGGAGGUAUUGAUUCCUUCAGUGCCGAAGCUAACGCAUUAAGUGCCCCGCCUGGGGAGUACGAUCGCAAGGUUGAAACUCAAAGGAAUUGACGGGGGCCCGCACAAGCGGUGGAGCAUGUGGUUUAAUUCGAUGCAACGCGAAGAACCUUACCGGGGUUUGACAUGCCCGUCGUACCCUGAUGAAAGUCGGGGGUCAGUUCGGCUGGACGGUGCACAGGUGCUGCAUGGCUGUCGUCAGCUCGUGUCGUGAGAUGUUGGGUUAAGUCCCGCAACGAGCGCAACCCUUACCCUUAGUUGCCAGCACGUCAUGGUGGGCACUCUAAGGGGACUGCCCCGGAUAACGGGGAGGAAGGUGGGGAUGACGUCAAGUCCUCAUGGCCCUUAUGUCCCGGGCUACACACGUGCUACAAUGGCCGGUACAGAGGGCAGCAAGACCGCGAGGUGGAGCAAAUCCCAGAAAACCGGCCCCAGUACAGAUUGGAGUCUGCAACUCGAGUCCAUGAAGUCGGAAUCGCUAGUAAUCGCGAAUCAGCAGGUCGCGGCGAAUACGUUCCCGGGCCUUGUACACACCGCCCGUCAAGCGAUGGAAGCCGGUGGUACCCGAAGUCAGUAUUCUAACCCGCAAGGGAGGGAGCUGCCGAAGGUAAAACUGGUGACUGGCGCUAAGUCGUAACAAGGUAACC